AAUUAUUCUGCAAUCUUCCUGGUCCUGCCAUUAAUUUAUUUAAGUCCUGGAAGAAUACUUAAAUUGGUCUCAAGUUCCAUCAGCAAGAUGGGACGACUCCAUUGAAAAGAAACAUAAUAUAUGGAAAAAUUACUAGAAAAUCUAGGAAAACUGACUGAAUGCUUUGGAAAGACACAGUCAAGAUUAAAAAAAAUGUGUCACAAGAAAGUUUACAGAACCUACUCAAACUCAAAGAGAAAUCAGAGACUAAAUUCUCAAAACUGGAAGCUCCCUACAGCAUCCACACUCUUCAGCCUUGUACUAUGUGAUGUGUAUUACGAAUGGAGCCACCGGCAGUAUUUGUAUGAACAUGAGACAAUGUGUGGCAGAUGCUUGGUGCUUUGUAAUAUUUAGUAAAAUAAAACAAUAAUAAUGUAACUAUAA